rnacentral:ncRNA from 1 species
UAAAUGCAGAUGAUAGAGACGGUAUAUUAAAUUUAGUUUCAAAGAGAGUUAGUAAUUUGGUGAAAACUAACAGCUAAUUAAUAUAUAGAUCACUCUUGAUGUUUCUUUUUGAACCAGAGUAAAUAAGAACGGUAACGCGUUAUAGUUAUUAAGUGUACUUUGAAGUAAAAUAAGGUGGUACCGCGGGUAAACUCGUCCUUAAU